CCAUGGCUCAGUUGGUAGAGCAACGCAUUCGUAAUGCGUGGGUCGGGGGUUCGAGUCCCCCUGGU
rnacentral:tRNA from 1 species